CUGGAGUCCAGUCUAUCAAUCUUCUCUUAAUAUCACAGACCAUGUAGCAUGAGUGUGGAUAUCUGACAGAGCUCUGGAAACCUUUGAGCACCACAGAACAUGCAAAGAACCGUGCACUAUGCUCACAUUAUUUACUCAGGCUUGGAAGUUCCUAUUCAAACCUGUCCAAAGGGGUUGCUAUUCAUCGGGGCAGCAUCCUGCUGUCUGACACAACAGAGUCUUAGGACUCAGUCUUAAUCUGCGCUGGCUUCCAUGAGCAACCCUCUUGCAACAUGUCUGCAAGCCUGGUCUCAUCAUACAUCUCAAAAUCACAACAAUCCCUCAUCAGCAUCGAGUUAGGAGGACAUUUGACAACUGCCAUGACCUUCUGAAGGAGUAACAUGGGUCUAGCAAGCUGCCUUUGCCAUUGCUGAGAAUGGGGAGAUUCAGAGGCUCCCAAUGUUGAGCACAUGCUUGUCAAGCAGAAAUGAAGAUAGCUCGUGGCUGGAGAACAAGUGUCCAUCAUGCAGAAGGUGUAGAACUGAAAGAACUCCUACCAAGCCACUGCUUACUCGGACAAUUGCAACUCUGUUCACUUAAACCAUGGUCAUGGUGUCUGAAGUUGAGCCAACCCAUUUCAGUGAACAUCAAUAAUGGAAUAGGAACACGUCGGUGACCCACAUGUGUCUCAGGUUCAGGUAACCUCCUCCAACAGAGCAACCACCUCAGGUGCCGGCAAUCAUCUAAGUACACCUAGAGACCAUAUUGUGGACAGGCACCCAAGCAUCAUGCCAACAAGCCUGACAACGAUUUGGUUGACUGAUGAGAAAGCUGAGAUACAAGGAUGUCUGGAACCCACGUUUUCAAAAGCAUCCUCGAACCUUCAGGUGUCCAACCUGAAGUGUCUGAUCUACAGGGGACAGUUGAGCAUCACUUUCUCUACCUGAAGUCAAGGGUGGCUACAGGCUACCAACACCUUGGAAAACACUACGCUGGGUGCAUAAAUCUCGCAGGGUUUAUUUGAGGUCAAGCAGAGGGGCUGAAAGUGCCCCAGAACAAACUGUUUGUGCUUAUCUAGGCAGUGACAGGAACAGAUGAAGCAUCCAGAAAAGGCUCCAGGGAUGCAGAACAGGGAGGAAAAGAAGGUCAUCUCUCAACUUCUCCAGGCCCCUUAGGGGCCUCAAAGGAAAUGUCUUGACUUCUCCUCCCAACUUUCCUUCCCCUUCCUCAUCCCACCUCUAUUCUUAGCAGCUUUGUCCAAGAGCUGGGAACAGAGCAUGGUUUCUUAAUUCCUCACCUCCCAUUACCUCAUACUUUGACUCAGACGGCUCAGGGUGGUGGCAGAGGCUGUAACCUUGCAUGGAGCCCUUGUUUUUGUUUACACAAAGACUGCGUUCCCACUAAGUAGGAUUUCCUCAGCUGCUGGGACAAGCUAUAGGCACAAGAUCAAUCUGGUUUGGCACCAGUGACUUAGUUCCUCCAGACAACAUUCCAUGGUCUUGAAAAUGCACUGCCUCGCCCAGAUCUUAAGCUUUGCCCUCACUGUGCUCCACAAAUCCUUUGCUGUUGGCACGGUACACGAAAACGACACCAGAACAAACUGCUUUUCCCUCCCUGCUGCAUUCAACAAGACCGCUUAAUUACAUUUUAAGAUGAAACUGGCUCAACAAGUUGGGCAGCUCGUGGGGCUGCCGGCCAGGGAAGUGGCACCUGCGUUGCUGCCAGCAGAUAGAGAAGACACCCAGUCCCCAUCUCUGCCAUCGGGAGCGACUUCCCACCCGAAAAACAAGUGGAAAACACUCACCCUCCUUCCUUAGUCCCAUUACUACCUACUCUAUCCACCCCAUCUAAUCAUGAUGACAUCUGAGUGCCUUUGUGUGUCAGCUCCCUGUGCAGUAAUCACCUCAAUCCCCCUCGGAAACAAAGCGGACCCCGCUGAGGAACUCACAAUAGGUGCCUUUCACUCGCACCACAACCUUGGCCUCGGUGGCGCUUCUAACAAAGCUUCCAUAUGUGCACCAGUAUGGGCUGACCAGGCAGAUCAACACCGCACGGGAUCAGAGCCGGCAUAUUUGUGAGCACGAAACAAGAGAGCCUUAAAAAAUGUCCCCAUCUUCCUGACAUACCUAUUUUUUUUUAAACAUGCUGCUGCACGUUAGGCCGCCACAGCUUUUAUCCACCUCCACAGGUCUGUUUGAGGAGAUAAAAGAGAAACACCGUCUCUGGGAGGCGAAGUCUGUUGGUCGGCCCCACUCUCAGAGGCUGCCUGGCCAUUGUUUCCUCUUCAACCCCAGGCUAGGGCCACUUCUUAAUUUUUCCUUUGGCAGAUAUCCCAUUUUUCCCCCUUCCCUGGGGCGCGGGGUGGAUCAAAGAUGAUAAGUUCUAUUCUAACAGGAGCCAAGUCAAUGAUAACCUUUGGGCAUGUGUGGCGAAAAGGUACUUCUGUAGCCCUAGCUGGGAUUAGCUGCAUAAUGGAUCAAUGAAAGAUCCCACCGUUUGACGGUUAUAGUGUCAUUCAUUAGUGUUAAGAUUUCAGCCUGAAUCAACAAUUGAGUGAGAAGACUGAAAGAAUUGCCUUUAGUACUUGGAACAGAAUAAAUUGUAACAGGCCUGUAAAAGUCCCCUGAGGUGUCUCUUUCUCUCCCUAUACAUACAUAUAUAUAUAUAUAUAGAUCACUUUUGCUGAACAUUUAAAAUUAGAUGAAAGUUGCUGAGCUUCUACAUAUGAAGCAGAAAAAGCUGAGCUACUUAUGAAAAGUGAGAGGGAAAAAAUAAUGUAUUUUUGGUUUGCCUAUCAAAGCUCUCAAGAGUGUUCUUGACUGUAGGAUCCAAGCACUAACUUGUUAUUCAGUCACCAUCUCUCAUACGUAACAAUGCAAAAAGAGCUAAUAAUAAACAGUACGCCCCCUCCUUAUACACAAACGCGCAAAUGCAAACACACACACACACACUUAGGAACCACUUGUAAAUGAGCAACACUGAUCCCAUCCACUUUUGUUGUCACAAAACUAGGGCAAGCUCGCUCUCAAUUAACUGCUUGGUACACAGAGCCCUAAAAAAAUUAACUACCCAGAGGACUUUGACACCAAGUUUUAACUCUCAGUUCUUUAUCAUCCUUUCAUUUCUUGAUCAAAGACCCAUCUACUCGCUACUAAUUUGCUGAGAAAUUAAACAUGAAAAAAGAAAGCAAUUCCACAACUGGGUGAAGAACAUUGUGGGCAGUUAAUGAUUAAUUAGCAUUAUAAUACACGACAGCCUGGUUUCACAGUAGAAGCUUGUUUUGAUAGCUUUUUUUCCAUAGAGGAAAUCUUCAGGUUGGUGCAAAGACUAUUCAAAGCAUCAGUGCCAAAAACUUUUCUCCUUGUUCUGAAGGGCGGUGAGUAGAAGUAACUUCAAAAUGCUCUGUGGACCAGGAGAUGUUCAACCAAGAGCCACGUCCUACAGCCCAAGCAGUGCAAUGGAGCUACAGUGGGGUCGCUGCCCAGUCCUCCCACCCAGGGACAGUGUCCUCAGGUGCUCACCCACCUCCAUGUCACCCCCCCUUGUCCAUUAGUCCAGCGUAUAACCCAGGGCCAGCUCACUUGGACCCGUAUCCACCUCUCCACACAGCUGGAUGAUGUCUAACUUGUUGGGUGGUCAAGGAAAUAGUUUAACUCCCUACUACAGCUUGAGCAACUUUUUCCUGCGACUGUGUUCUAGCUGUAUAAAAUCAACACCGCUUUUCCUGUUGGCUUGCAGAAAAAGAAAACAAUAAAACAAUAUCCAGAUUUUUAUGAAGUAGCUACCAAUAUUACUAGUGGGAGCAUAAGUGCAUGCCAACCCAGCAUGGGAGAUGGAAGAAAGAUCAUAACUAUGGGAGGAACAGAGAUAGCUUUUUAUAGCAGAUUGUAAACAGCACGCCAUCAGCGUAGAAAGCUAUCACAGUAAAGGGAUUAUUUAAAUCAUGAAAAAAAAUUAAGAGAAAAUUUUCUAUUUGGUUCCUCAUCUGCGUUUAUUAUUGAGGUCAAUUUUGAAGUCACAGCUGCAAGUGAAAGAGCUCACUAAGUCAUUUACUAACUAUAAAUACUUCAAAAAAUGCCAACGGCAGUCCAAAAGCAACGCAGUCAGAGCCAAUUCUUCCCGUUGCCCUGAGAUUUCAGCUCCUGCUGUUCAACCUGAAGUCAGAUGCUGGCGUUUAAGUUGUUGACACCGAGGAAAUUAAAAAGAGCAGACACCCCCCAGCCUGCAGCCCACCCCUCCCUGGCUGCCGGUGCUGUUAGUCUGCAGAUAGCUGGUUAUUGCUGAUGGGCACCAGCCACCUGCCUGUGCCGCUCGGUGGCAUUCUGAACCGCCAAGCGAGCCAGCUGUGCACAACAUGACAGUAACUCCACGUUUCCCAUCUGUAAGGCUGACUUGAGUGCGUGAAGGUUUGGAGAAUACAUUUACAGUAGGAGCUCUCACAGAUAAGAGCAAUUUCUCUUAGCGGCUCUGCAAAGCUCCAUGCACACAGCUCCGUAACGCCAGUCAAGCUAUAAAUAAUAAUUACACAAAUAGAGUCUUAUGUACUGAUCGUAAAAAAGGAUGUUUGCUUGAAAGUGCUCACCUGG